CGUGAGUGAUGAAGGCUUUCGGGUCGUAAAGCUCUGUCAAGUGGGAAGAACCUAUAUAAUGUUAAUAUCAUUAUAUACUGACGGUACCACUGAAGGAAGCACCGGCUAACUCCGUGCCAGCAGCCGCGGUAAUACGGGGGGUGCAAGCGUUAUUCGGAAUCAUUGGGCGUAAAGAGCACGUAGGCGGCCUGGUAAGUCAGAUGUGAAAGCUCGGGGCUUAACCCCGGAAGUGCAUUUGAUACUGUCAGGCUUGAGUAUGGGAGAGGGACGUGGAAUUCCUGGUGUAGAGGUGAAAUUCGUAGAUAUCAGGAGGAACACCGGUGGCGAAGGCGACUUCCUGGACCAAUACUGACGCUGAGGUGCGAAGGCGUGGGUAGCAAACAGGAUUAGAUACCCUGGUAGUCCACGCAGUAAACGUUGUUCACUAGGUGUAGCGGGUAUUGACCCCUGCUGUGCCGCAGUUAACGCAUUAA
rnacentral:rRNA from 1 species